UACGUAGGGAGCAAGCGUUGUUCGGAUUUACUGGGCGUAAAGGGCGCGUAGGCGGCCACUCAAGUCAUCUGUGAAAUCUCCGGGCUUAACUCGGAACGGUCAGAUGAUACUGUUUUGCUAGAGUGCAGAAGGGGCAAUCGGAAUUCUUGGUGUAGCGGUGAAAUGCGUAGAUAUCAAGAGGAACACCUGAGGUGAAGACGGGUUGCUGGGCUGACCCUGACGCUGAGGCGCGAAAGCCAGGGGAGCAAACGGG
rnacentral:rRNA from 1 species